CCGACCCGCCCGCGGCCCCGCCAACCUCGGCCGCGCCCCGGGCCCGGACCCCGGCCCCGGCCCCGGCGGCCCAGCCGUGGGAACGAUGCUACCCAGCUCCAUCCAGAUUUCGGGGGAACCGUUGUCAGGUGCCGAGGUGCGGGACAUCUGCCGCGGCCUGCGCGACAACGCCGUGCGCCUGCUCUCACUGCGCGGCUGCCGUCUCUGCGACCGCGACUUCGGCCGCAUCUGCCGGGCCCUGGCGGGGGCCACAUCCCUGGCACAGCUCAACCUUAACCUGGGUGUCGUGUCCAGCCCCGGCCGCAUCAAGCAGCUGGCGGAGGCGCUGCGGACCAACCGCUCCAUCCAGUCCCUCUUCCUUCAUGGAAGCCCCCUGACAGAUGCGGGGCUGGCCUUGCUGAAUCCAGCCCUGGCCCUUCACCCUGCCCUAGUGGCUCUGGACCUGGGGGACUGCAUGCUGGGUGAUGAAGCCAUCAACCUCAUCUGUGGCCUCCUCCCCCCAGACGGGGCCAAGUCUGGCUUGAAGGAGCUGACGCUUAGCGCCAACCCUGGCAUCACCCCUAAGGGCUGGAGCCGCCUCGCCAUUGCCGUGGCCCACAGCUCCCAGGUCCGCGUCCUCAAUCUGGACUACAACCCCCUGGGUGACCACGUGGCAGGGAUGCUGGCUGUAGCUGUGGCCUCCAGCCGCACCUUAGAGGUCCUAGACUUGGAGGGCACAGGGCUCACCAAUCAGUCGGCUCAGACCCUGCUGGACAUGGUAGAAAAUUACCCCACAGCUUUGCGGAGUCUGGUGUUGGCUGAGAACAGUAUCAGCCCAGAGCUGCAGCAGCAGAUCUGUGACCUCCUCUCUGAGGGGGAGGAGGAGGAGGAGGUGGCAGGAGGAGCUGGCGACACGCAGGAACGAGAGAGAGGGCGGGAGCCUGCUGCCCACCAGAGGGGCAGCAGCUCCUGGAUGUGCCCCAGUGAUCCCAGCUCUCAGAUGGUGCUAAUGACGUCAGGACUUGGGGACAGUCUAUUGGCGGAGACUGAGAUGUGACUCCAUAUCAGCAUCUGAGCAUCAUUACAUUUGUCCCCAGCACUUUGUCCCGGAUACAGGGACCCAGGUUUCUGGGGUGACACCUUACAAAGGCCCUUUAAGGAUCAUAACUCAAGUAAAGAGCCUCCAAGGCUGGGCUGGACUGGAUCCUACCUCAAGGACAGACUCAAGACCCGCCAAGUUUACUUGAGGUGCACCCUCUCCCACUGCCUGAUGCUCUGGGCCCAGGGAAGCCCCAGGCAGAGUGGGGUGGGGGGAGUCACCAGCAAAAGGUGAGGACAUGACUAGGACUGGGAACACUCAAGAAUGGCAAAAAAAGAUCAUUAAUAGAUAAAUUAGGCCAUAUCAGUAAAAUAGUUUUAAUUUUAAAAUAGUUAUCGAUGUGAAAAUUUCCCAAAGCUGGGAGUAACAGUCUAAAGCCAAGGCUGGGAGCAGGGCCAGGUUUCACCUAGAGCCCAGCUUGAGGCCCCUGAAUCCCACCCUCUACUCCCUUCCAGAGGGAGGAACAGCUGAGGGGAGCCCUGAGUCAGUCCUCUCCCACAUCCCCAGGGCCUGCCGUGCCAGGCCCCUUGAAGGCAACAGCUCUGCAGAGGAUUUGGGGGGAGAGGAAAACAGGUAAAAAAUAAAAAUUAGAGGUUAAUAAUCCCAAUGACCCCUCCCCCUCUGGAAGAAAAAAAAAAAAACACACCUGGUGGAUGUGCAAGGAGGAUGGAGGAUGAACACUGAUGUUAACAACCCCUCAGCUCCCAGAACAGACCAAUAUGGGCUGAUUGGAAAAGGGUCCUGAGCCCCAGCUGUAUGUUACUUUUGGAGAAUAAAUAUUCCAGGGGGGAAAAACCACGAGGCAAGCCGAUACCAGUUACAGCCAAGGCAGCUGAAGGGCCUGGUGUGGUCUAACCUUACCCACACAGGGAGCAGAGUUCAAGGGCUUGGGCUAUGUGGGGACUGUGAGCUGCAAGGGCAGCAGUGCCCUGCAGUCCCAGUGCAGCAAUGGCAGGAAGGGCAAGCUGGGCCCUAGUUGAGCAGGUUGCCCUGCUCCUGGGCCUGUGUCAGGCUGUCCUUUCGGUGCAGGUGGUGCACCCCCAUCCUCUUGGGGCUGCGCUGGGGGCGGCUGGAGCUGGGGAGUGCCCAGGGCCUGCCCUCAGUGCGAGGAGUGCCAGGCCCCUCCUCCGGGCCACUGUCACUGGGCAGCAAGCUCCGGCACUCUUCCUCAGGGCUGAUGGGCAGGUUCAGCUCUUCCUCGUCCUCCUCCCUGGGAAAGCUGGGGGCAGCUUCCGCUGGCAGCAAAAGCCCACUUUCACCAGGAGGGGAAGAAGGUGCCUGAACCUCAUCUCCACCAGCGGGGCCGAGGGCGAAGUGGCGCUGCAGCUCCGGGAGCGCGUCACGUCCGAAGGCUGUGCGCUGGGCCACGGUGGCCGGGGGCGGGGUGCGGUCCACAAAGGCCCGCUGCCAACUGGCCAGGAGGUCCUCCUCAGAGCUGGCGGAGCUGGCCGGGGCACUGAGGGCUGGAGGGCCAGGGCUGGGCUGGUGCUGGGGGGAGGCCUGGGCCGAGGCAGGGCUGCUGGGCACUGGGCUAGGACGGGCCCGCUCACCGCCCUCCUCCACCAGACUCAGGGAGAUGGCCUGGCGGGUGGCAUAGGUGCAGUUGGGCAGCGGGCUGUUGCGGGGAAUCCGCACCUUAUCCUCAGAGAACUCUAUCACCCUGCGGCCGGGAUACAGCGGGUGGGGUGGGGACGGGGUCGGGUAGGGGCUCAGCUUCUCAAAGGCCGGCAGGGGCAGCUCCUCCUCUGGGGAGCCUCUGGCAGUGCCCAGAGAGCGGCACUCCCCAUUGGGUUGGGGGGUGGGGCUGCCCGGGGCCGGGGGGCUGGCCAAGUCACCCGGGUCCCCCCCACUCAUAUCCACGUGCACAAAGACAUCCUCAGCCAGGGGGUGCCCUGCACUGCCUGACUGGGCCGAGUUGAGCAGGAGAGACUCUGGCUUCUCCAACACGCGGGCAAUGACCGAGGUGGGCACCACAGCCCCUGGGGCAAGGCUGGGGGCAGGCCCAGGGCUGACAGCCUCCUGACCACUGUGGAGAUGUUUCCGAACCAUAUCCUGUAGUUCACAGGGCAGCUGGAGUAGAGGAGAGAGAGGGAGGAAGAGACAUGAACGAUCCAGCCUGAGACAGCUUGCUCAGGACAAAACCAACGGCUGCCACGUGGGAGGCCCACGGUGCUGGGCACUUUGCUCUGGUUCUCAAAGCACAUGCCAAGGAGUUCCCGUCGUGGCUCAUCAGAAACGAAUCUGACUAGCAUGCAUGAGGAUGCAGGUUCAAUCCCUGGCCUCACUCAGUGGGUUAAGGCUCUGGCAUUGCCAUGAGCUGUGGUGUAGACUGCAGACAAGGCUUGGAUCUGGCGUUGCUGUGGCUGUGGUAUAGGACAAUGGCUGCAGUUCCAAUUCAACCCCUAGCUUGGGAACUUCCAUAUGUCAUGGGUGUGGCCCUAAAAA